rnacentral:tRNA from 1 species
AAAUAUCAUUUUGGCAGAUUAGUGCAAUAAAUUUAGAAUUUAUAAAUGUAAUUUUUUACAAAUGAUA